rnacentral:rRNA from 1 species
CGGACGGGUGAGUAACACGUGGAUAACCUACCUAUAAGACUGGGAUAACUUCGGGAAACCGGAGCUAAUACCGGAUAAUAUUUUGAACCGCAUGGUUCAAAAGUGAAAGACGGUCUUGCUGUCACUCAUAGAUGGAUCCGCGCUGCAUUAGCUAGUUGGUAAGGUAACGGCUUACCAAGGCAACGAUGCAUAGCCGACCUGAGAGGGUGAUCGGCCACACUGGAACUGAGACACGGUCCAG